rnacentral:rRNA from 1 species
UACGUAGGGCGCAAGCGUUGUCCGGAAUUAUUGGGCGUAAAGAGCCCGUAGGCGGUUUGUCGCGUCUGCUGUGAAAACCUAAGGCUCAACCUUGGGCUUGCAGUGGGGUACGGGCAGACUAGAGUGCGGUAGGGGUGACUGGAAUUCCUGGUGUAGCGGUGGAAUGCGCAGAGUAUCAGGAGGAACACCCGGUGGCGAAGGCGGGU